UACGUAGGGUGCAAGCGUUAAUCGGAAUUACUGGGCGUAAAGCGUGCGCAGGCGGUGAUGUAAGACCGAUGUGAAAUCCCCGGGCUUAACCUGGGAACUGCAUUUGUGACUGCAUCGCUGGAGUGCGGCAGAGGGGGAUGGAAUUCCGCGUGUAGCAGUGAAAUGCGUAGAUAUGCGGAGGAACACCGAUGGCGAAGGCAAUCCCCUGGGCCUGCACUGACGCUCAUGCACGAAAGCGUGGGGAGCAAACAGG
rnacentral:rRNA from 1 species